rnacentral:rRNA from 1 species
AAUGAACGUUGGCGGCGUGGAUUAGGCAUGCAAGUCGAGCGCGAACCCGCAAGGGGGAGAGCGGCAAACGGGGUAGUAACGGGUAGGUGACGUACCCUCGGGACGGGGAUAGCCACGGGAAACUGUGGGUAAUACCCGAUAACCUCCUAAGGCGUAAGGCCUUGAGAGCAAAGGUGUGAUUCCACCGGAGGAGCGGCCUGCUUCGUAUUAGCUAGUUGGUGAGGUAACGGCUCACCAAGGCGACGAUGCGUAGGGGGUGUGAGAGCAUGACCCCCACCGCUGGGACUGAGAUACUGCCCAGACACCUACGGGUGGCUGCAGUCGAGAAUCUUCGGCAAUGGGCGCAAGCCUGACCGAGCGACGCCGCGUGUGGGAUGAAGGCCCUUGGGUUGUAAACCACUGUCAGAGGGGGUGAAGUGUUCCGGAGCAAUCUCCGGGAUUUGACAUAGCCUCAGAGGAAGCACGGGCUAAGUUCGUGCCAGCAGCCGCAGUAAUAC